GUGGGGAAUCUUGCGCAAUGGGCGAAAGCCUGACGCAGCCAUGCCGCGUGAAUGAUGAAGGUCUUAGGAUUGUAAAAUUCUUUCACCGGGGACGAUAAUGACGGUACCCGGAGAAGAAGCCCCGGCUAACUUCGUGCCAGCAGCCGCGGUAAUACGAAGGGGGCUAGCGUUGCUCGGAAUUACUGGGCGUAAAGGGCGCGUAGGCGGAUCGUUAAGUCAGGGGUGAAAUCCCAGAGUUCAACUCUGGAACUGCCCUUGAUACUGGCGAUCUUGAGUGUGAGAGAGGUAUGUGGAACUCCGAGUGUAGAGGUGAAAUUCGUAGAUAUUCGGAAGAACACCAGUGGCGAAGGCGACAUACUGGCUCAUUACUGACGCUGAGGCGCGAAAGCGUGGGGAGCAAACAGGAUUAGAAACCCUUGUAGUCC
rnacentral:rRNA from 1 species